UACGGAGGGGACUAGCGUUGUUCGGAUUUACUGGGCGUAAAGGGUGCGUAGGCGGCGCGGUAAGUCGGGUGUGAAAUCUCGGAGCUUAACUCCGAAACUGCAUUCGAUACUGUCGGGCUAGAGUCCGGAAGAGGCGAGUGGAAUUCCUGGUGUAGCGGUGAAAUGCGCAGAUAUCAGGAGGAACACCAAUGGCGAAGGCAGCUCGCUGGGACGGUACUGACGCUGAGGCGCGAAAGCGUGGGGAGCAAACAGG
rnacentral:rRNA from 1 species